AACGAACGCUGGCGGCAUGCCUAACACAUGCAAGUCGAACGAGACCUUCGGGUCUAGUGGCGCACGGGUGCGUAACGCGUGGGAAUCUGCCCCUCGGUUCGGAAUAACAGGGAGAAAUUACUGCUAAUACCGGAUGAUGACUUCGGUCCAAAGAUUUAUCGCCGAGGGAUGAGCCCGCGUAGGAUUAGGUAGUUGGUGGGGUAAUGGCCUACCAAGCCGACGAUCCUUAGCUGGUCUGAGAGGAUGAUCAGCCACACUGGGACUGAGACACGGCCCAGACUCCUACGGGAGGCAGCAGUGGGGAAUAUUGGACAAUGGGCGAAAGCCUGAUCCAGCAAUGCCGCGUGAGUGAUGAAGGCCUUAGGGUUGUAAAGCUCUUUUACCAGGGAUGAUAAUGACAGUACCUGGAGAAUAAGCUCCGGCUAACUCCGUGCCAGCCGCCGCAGUAACAC
rnacentral:rRNA from 1 species